rnacentral:rRNA from 1 species
UCGAACGAUGAAGCCCUUCGGGGUGGAUUAGUGGCGAACGGGUGAGUAACACGUGGGCAAUCUGCCCUUCACUCUGGGACAAGCCCUGGAAACGGGGUCUAAUACCGGAUAACACUCUGUCCCGCAUGGGACGGGGUUAAAAGCUCCGGCGGUGAAGGAUGAGCCCGCGGCCUAUCAGCUUGUUGGUGGGGUAAUGGCCUACCAAGGCGACGACGGGUAGCCGGCCUGAGAGGGCGACCGGCCACACUGGGACUGAGACACGGCCCAGACUCCUACGGGAGGCAGCAGUGGGGAAUAUUGCACAAUGGGCGAAAGCCUGAUGCAGCGACGCCGCGUGAGGGAUGACGGCCUUCGGGUUGUAAACCUCUUUCAGCAGGGAAGAAGCGAAAGUGACGGUACCUGCAGAAGAAGCGCCGGCUAACUACGUGCCAGCAGCCGCGGUAAUACGUAGGGCGCAAGCGUUGUCCGGAAUUAUUGGGCGUAAAGAGCUCGUAGGCGGCUUGUCACGUCGGAUGUGAAAGCCCGGGGCUUAACCCCGGGUCUGCAUUCGAUACGGGCUAGCUAGAGUGUGGUAGGGGAGAUCGGAAUUCCUGGUGUAGCGGUGAAAUGCGCAGAUAUCAGGAGGAACACCGGUGGCGAAGGCGGAUCUCUGGGCCAUUACUGACGCUGAGGAGCGAAAGCGUGGGGAGCGAACAGGAU